GAUGAACGCUGGCGGCGUGCCUAAUACAUGCAAGUCGAGCGAACAGACGAGAAGCUUGCUCCUCUGACGUUAGCGGCGGACGGGUGAGUAACACGUGGAUAACCUACCUAUAAGACUGGGAUAACUUCGGGAAACCGUAGCUAAUACCGGAUAAUAUUUUGAACCGCAUGGUUCAAUAGUGAAAGACGGUCUUGCUGUCACUUAUAGAUGGAUCCGCGCCGCAUUAGCUAGUUGGUAAGGUAACGGCUUACCAAGGCAACGAUGCAUAGCCGACCUGAGAGGGUGAUCGGCCACACUGGAACUGAGACACGGUCCAGACUCCUACGGGAGGCAGCAGUAGGGAAUCUUCCGCAAUGGGCGAAAGCCUGACGGAGCAACGCCGCGUGAGUGAUGAAGGUCUUCGGAUCGUAAAACUCUGUUAUUAGGGAAGAACAUAUGUGUAAGUAACUAUGCACGUCUUGACGGUACCUAAUCAGAAAGCCACGGCUAACUACGUG
rnacentral:rRNA from 1 species